AUUUUUCAGAAUUCUCAGGGAAAAUUAUUUGACCGAAUUACAUAAGGACUCAUUUGAAGGCCUACUAUCACUCCAGUAUUUAGAUUUAUCCUGCAAUAAAAUACAAUCUAUUGAAAGACGUGCAUUUGAACCGCUACCUUUUUUGCAGUUUAUAAAUCUUGGUUGCAAUUUACUCACAGAACUGAGCUUUGGAACAUUUCAGGCCUGGCAUGGAAUGCAGUUUUUACACAAGUUAAUUCUCAGUCGUAACCCUCUGACAACUGUUGAAGAUUCAUAUCUUUUUAAAUUGCCGGCAUUAAAAUAUUUG